rnacentral:misc_RNA from 1 species
GGCCAGGAGGUGCGCCUAUGCCAAAUUUCUUUGUGCCACUAGUUCAGCAGGGUCAGCAGGGCCAGCGCCCUGGAGGGCGACGUGGAGUAGGUCACAUGCAACAGACCCAGCAACCUGUCCCUCUGAUGCAUCAGCAGAUGCUUCCUAGGGGACGUGUCUAUCGAUACCCACCCGGUCGCAACAUGCCAGAUGUUCCAAUGGCAGUUCCUGCUGGAGGUAUGCUGUCUGCUCCCUAUGAUAUGGGUGGCAUGCCAAUUAGAGAUGCUGCUGCAGGACAGCCUAUGCCCAUUACUGCUUUGGCUACAGCCCUUGCGAAUGCUACCCUUGAACAGCAAAGGACGGUAGGCCCAUCUAUGUUCUUUUUUUCUCAUAUUUUUCUCUGUGCUGCUUCCAAAUUUUUGUUGGUUCUUUGGACUUGAAAAGUUUCUGAUUUUUUCCUUGGUUUUGUUGACAUUUAGCUACUGGGUGAAAGUCUCUACCCUUUAGUGGAUCAGUUGGAGCAUGAUUCAGCAGCCAAGGUUACAGGCAUGCUUUUGGAGAUGGAUCAGACUGAGGUUUUACACCUGCUUGAAUCACCGGAGGCUUUAAAGGCUAAAGUAGCAGAGGCUAUGGAGGUGCUAAGGAGUGUUGCUGCUCAGCAGCAGGCAACAAACCCUGUUGAUCAGCUUGCCUCACUAUCCCUGAAUGAUGGUCUCAUCUCAUGAAGUAUGUUUUUGGUGAAUUAAACAGGUUCAUCAAGUGGGUUUUGUUGCAGUUUUUAAAACUAGUUUUAUUGGCUAAGCAGAUGAAAAUUUGAUUCUAUGCCAGAUUUAUAUAUGGGCUUAAGUAGGUUGUUGGGACUUGUUUUUUUGCUUCAUUAUUGGUCUGGGCAGGAUUCUAAAUAUUUUGUGGAACGAGAUACAUUUUGUUUGAGGAAAUGGUCAUGUUGACUGAUUUGCACAGAUUUUUAUAAUAAUGUGGCACAUUUGGUUUGUCCUAGAUCAGUUAAUGUUUUGUUGCUGCGUUAUUUGUGAUAAUAUUUUAUUAGCUUCA